AGUGAACGCUGGCGGUAGGCCUAACACAUGCAAGCCGAGCGGCAGCACAGUAAGAGCUUGCUCUUACGGGUGGCGAGUGGCGGACGGGUGAGGAAUACAUCGGAAUCUACUUUUUCGUGGGGGAUAACGUAGGGAAACUUACGCUAAUACCGCAUACGACCUACGGGUGAAAGCAGGGAAUCUUCGGACCUUGCGCGAUUGAAUGAGCCGAUGUGGGUUUAGCUAGUUGGCGGGGUAAAGGCCCACCAAGGCGACGAUCCGUAGCUGGUCUGAGAGGAUGGUAGCCGGCACUAGAACUGGAACACGGACCAUGCUCCUGAGGGAGGGAGCAGUGGGGAACGUUGGACAAUGGGGGGAAGCCUGAUCCAGCCGGACCGCGUGGGUGACGGAGGCCUUCGGGUUGUAAAGCCCUUUUGUUGGGAAAGAAAAGCAGCAGGUUAAUACCCCGCUGUUCUGACGGUACCCAAAGAAUAAGCACCGGCUAACUUCGUG
rnacentral:rRNA from 1 species